rnacentral:piRNA from 1 species
UGAGAUCCUGGCGCGAUCCGGUGGU